rnacentral:rRNA from 1 species
CCUGGGGCUGUAGUAGGUCCCAAGGGUUGGGCUGUUCGCCCAUUAAAGUGGUACGCGAGCUGGGUUCAGAACGUCGUGAGACAGUUCGGUCCCUAUCCGUCGCAGGCGUAGGAAAUUUGAGAAGGCCUGUCCUUAGUACGAGAGGACCGGGAUGGACGUACCUCUGGUGUACCAGUUGUUCUGCCAAGGGCAUGGCUGGGUAGCUAUGUACGGAAUGGAUAAGCGCUGAAAGCAUCUAAGCGCGAAGCCAAC